rnacentral:misc_RNA from 1 species
UCUCCGUAGGUGAACCUGCGGAGGGAUCAUUACUGAGUGAGGGCUUCGGUCCGACCUCCAACCCUUUUUGAACCAAACUUGUUGCAUCGGGGGCGACCCUGCCGCUUCGGCGGUGCGGCGCCCCCGAAGGCCAUUAAACACUGCAUCAUUGCGUCGGAGUUAAAGUAAAUUAAACAAAACUUUCAACAACGGAUCUCAUGGUUCCAGCGUCGAUGAAGAACACAGC